rnacentral:ncRNA from 2 species
GUCUAUCUUCGGGGCGGGGUGUAAUUCCCCACCGGCGGUGAUGAAGGGACACCUUCAAAGCCCGCGAGCCUUCGGGUUGAUUUGGUGAGAAUCCAAAGCCGACAGUAUAGUCUGGAUGGGAGAAGAUGGAG